rnacentral:rRNA from 1 species
GAUGAACGCUGGCGGCGUGCCUAAUACAUGCAAGUCGAGCGACCAGACGAGGAGCUUGCUCCUCUGACGUUAGCGGCGGACGGGUGAGUAACACGUGGAUAACCUACCUAUAAGACUGGGAUAACUUCGGGAAACCGGAGCUAAUACCGGAUAAUAUAUUGAACCGCAUGGUUCAAUAGUUAAAGACGGUUUUGCUGUCACUUAUAGAUGGAGCCGCGGCGCAUUAGCUAGUUGGUAAGGUAACAGCUUACCAAGGCGACGAUGCGUAGCCGACCUGAGAGGGUGAUCAGCCACACUGGAACUGAGACACGGUCCAGACUCCUACGGGAGGCAGCAGUAGGGAAUCUUCCACAAUGGGCGAAAGCCUGACGGAGCAACGCCGCGUGAGUGAUGAAGGUCUUCGGAUCGUAAAACUCUGUUAUUAGGGAAGAACAAAUGUGUAAGUAACUAUGCACGUCUUGACGGUACCUAAUCAGAAAGCCACGGCUAACUACGUG